rnacentral:rRNA from 1 species
GACGAACGCUGGCGGCGUGCCUAAUACAUGCAAGUAGAACGCACAGUUUAUACCGUAGCUUGCUACACCAUAGACUGUGAGUUGCGAACGGGUGAGUAACGCGUAGGUAACCUGCCUGGUAGCGGGGGAUAACUAUUGGAAACGAUAGCUAAUACCGCAUAAUAUUGAUUAUUGCAUGAUAAUUAAUUGAAAGGUGCAAUUGCACCACUACCAGAUGGACCUGCGUUGUAUUAGCUAGUAGGUGAGGUAACGGCUCACCUAGGCGACGAUACAUAGCCGACCUGAGAGGGUGAUCGGCCACACUGGGACUGAGACACGGCCCAGACUCCUACGGGAGGCAGCAGUAGGGAAUCUUCGGCAAGGGACGAAAGUCUGACCGAGCAACGCCGCGUGAGUGAAGAAGGUUUUCGGAUCGUAAAGCUCUGUUGUAAGAGAAGAACGGGUGUGAGAGUGGAAAGUUCACACUGUGACGGUAUCUUACCAGAAAGGGACGGCUAACUACGUG